rnacentral:rRNA from 1 species
UAAGACGGAGGAGGCAAGCGUUAUCCGGAAUUAUUGGGCGUAAAGCGUCCGCAGGUGGCUUUCCAAGUCUGCCGUCAAAGCCCGAGGCUUAACCUCGGAUCGGCGGUGGAAACUGGAUCGCUAGAGUGCGUCAGGGGUAGGGGGAAUUCCCGGUGUAGCGGUGAAAUGCGUAGAUAUCGGGAAGAACACCAGUGACGAAAGUGCCCUACUGGGACGUUACUGACACUCAUGGACGAAAGCUAGGGGAGCGAAAGGGAUUAGAUACCCCUGUAGUCCUAGCCGUAAACGAUGGACACUAGGUGUUGCUGGUAUCCACUCCAGCAGUGCCGUAGCCAACGCGUUAAGUGUCCCGCCUGGGGAGUACGCACGCAAGUGUG